CGUACUAGUUUAUUGGUUUCUCUCUUCUGACGAACCAUGAUGUCAUUAAUUUGGUGUCAUGUGGAAUCAGAACUGUUACUUUGAAAAAAUUAGAGUGUUUAAAGCAGGCUCACGCUUGAAUACAUUAGCAUGGAAUAAUGAAAUAGGACGUUUGAUUCUAUUUUGUUGGUUUCUAGGAUUGACGUAAUGAUUAAUAGGGAUAGUUGGGGGCAUUAGUAUUCAAUUGUCAGAGGUGAAAUUCUUGGAUUUAUUGAGGACUAACUACUGCGAAAGCAUUUGCCAAGGAUGUUUUCAUUAAUCAAGAACGAAAGUUAGGGGAUCGAAGACGAUCAGAUACCGUCGUAGUCUUAACCAUAAACUAUGCCGACUAGGGAUCGGAUGAUGUUAAUUUAAUGACUCAUUCGGCGCCUUACG
rnacentral:rRNA from 1 species